UAAAUAUUCAUAGGUAACGGUUGGGCAUGCGUCCUAUUAGAUAGUUGGGGGGGUAACGGCCCACCAAGUCGAUGAUAGGUAGGGGUUCUGAGAGGAAGGUCCCCCACACUGGUACUGAGACACGGACCAGACUCCUACGGGAGGCAGCAGUGAGGAAUAUUGGUCAAUGGGCGAGAGCCUGAACCAGCCAAGUCGCGUGAGGGAUGACUGCCCUAUGGGUUGUAAACCUCUUUUGUAUGGGGGGAAUAAGCUUUACGAGUAGAGUGAUGACAGUACCAUACGAAUAAGCAUCGGCUAACUCCGUGCCAGCAGCCGCGGUAAUACGGAGGAUGCGAGCGUUAUCCGGAUUUAUUGGGUUUAAAGGGUGCGUAGGCGGCAUUAUAAGUUAGUGGUAAAAUAUUGGGGCUUCACCUCACUACGCCAUUAAUACUGUAGAGCUAGAGAACAGACGAGGUAGGCGGAAUAAGUUAAGUAGCGGUGAAAUGCAUAGAUAUAACUUAGGACACCGAUAGCGAAGGCAGCUUACCAGACUGAGUCUGACGCUGAUGCACGAGAGCAUGGGUAGCGAACAGGAUUAGAUACCCUGGUAGUCCAUGCCGUAAACGAUGCUCACUGGCCUUAGGCGAUAUAUGGUCU
rnacentral:rRNA from 1 species